rnacentral:tRNA from 2 species
GGCAACAUGGCCGAGUGGUCUAAGGCGCCAGAAUCAGGAUCUGGUCUUCGGGCGUGGGUUCGAAUCCCACUGUUGUCA